CGCGGGCGGCGGGGCGGGCGCAGAAGUUUCUAGAGCGGGUGACCCGGUGGGGGCCGGGUGCUCGGCGCGCUCUGAGCGCCCGGCUCCUCCCGCCCACCGGCUGCCCGCUCCCCGGCUCCGGCACCCUGCGGCCUCUGGCACCGCUGCCCUUCUCCCCGCUCUCGACAGCGCCUCCCUCCGCUUCCCGCUGGCCGGACAAUUCUAGAUCCUUCUGGAUCGCGGGCCCCCGCCGCCGUCCGCGCCCCACCUGCGCAGCGCCCGCCGCGGCCGGGCGGAGACGGGCACAUUUUAAAGGGACCUUCGCGGAGGUGGGCGUGGCGGCGAGCCUGUAAUCCCAGCACUUCGGGAGGCUGAGACAGGACACUCGCAAAUUCCUGCCAAGCUUGGACAGCUUAGUGAUUCAGCGGGGCGAGAUCCUGUCUCAAAAAAAAAAAAAAGGGGGUUUCAGAUGUAGUUCUGUGGGACGGUCCUGGGUUCAGUCCCCCACCCCCGCAACUAUAAAUGAUUGUUUUGGGUAAUAAAGCACAAAAUGGUUCAAUGUAAAAAAAAGUCAUCCCAUUUUACUAAAGACUCAUAGGAAGCGCUUUUGUCAAUGUCUGGCCCCAACAGUUUACGGACUGUGGAGUUUGUUGUAGGUUGAAACCCUGUGGUACAUAAUUAAUCAAACAGUGGGGGUCCCCAUCAUGCUUAGUGCUUCACCCCUGUUAACACAGUGCCACAUGCAUAGUGUUUAUUUUAAAGAGAAAAAAACAAAAACAAUACACAAUUUCAAAACAAGAUAAUAGGAGAUUAACAAUAGUUAAUAUAUUACGUGUUGUUAUCUUCAGAGUAGCUGCUCAGAUUGCAAGAUAUAGGCAUG
rnacentral:lncRNA from 1 species